GAGGAGUUAUUACAUUGUAAUAAACAUGUUGUAUAUAAUUAUGAAUGUAAUUUGUAUGUUUUUAUUGUAUUUUUGAAACAGUAGUUGAUGACAAUAUGAAAUGAAUCAUGUUUGAAUGUGUGUUGUGUAAAGAUGUGUUUGUGAUCAUGUGUUUAAAGUGCAGUUAGUGAAGCGCUCAGAGGUUUUUGUGCAGCUGUUCUAUUAGUUUGUAUCACUGUGGUACACUUUCGGCAGCGGCACCAGACUGGAUGUUGGCAGCAUCACUCGUCCUAAAGUGAGCGUCCUGCCGCCCUCCAGUGAAGAGAUUUCCAC